CCUGCUGCAGGGCGGGCCCUGACAUCAGGAUUUCCAGGAAAAGGUUGCAGAUCUGGAGGGAAGAACCAAGAUUCCCAUUGCCCAAUGGAGCCUUAAAGAAUAUACCCAAGCUGGUCUGACAAGGUCUUCAAUAAAGUUCCUGGGCAGCUCACACCAGUGUUGUUUGGGAUCAGACACUAAAUACAAGGAAUAGUUUGGCAGCUGCAGGGUGAACAACGGAGGAACAUGUCCCCCAGCAGCUCCCUUCCAACCCAUGAACAUUUACCUGGCGCUGAUACAAGAAACUCACCUGCACUGGGCAGGACUCCACUGACCUCUCUCUUGCUUGAAAUGCAAGUGGAGAGGAAUGCACGGGAUUCCAAACCCUUUUCUAGGUUUCACUGUGGCAGCAGAUAUCAGAGAAAAAAAAGGACAUUUAUUUUUAGGAAGUCUUGACUUCAGGUUUUCCCAGCCUGAAGUUGCCCACUGUGGUGCCAGCAGCCAAGGACUCGGAGGGGAAACAAUUAGAAACCCAAAAGGGACAGCUUUCUCUGUCGGUCUCAGAAAAUAUGCGUGUGUAAAGACCAAAUCCAGUGGGAAGGGAAAGAUAUGUCAAUGUGUUAUUUCUGUUCAAAUAUUCCAGGAUAUCAGCAACAAAACAAAAUUUGCUUUUGCGGGGCCAACACCACACAGGUGUGUGUUAUGCAUUAAAGGCCAGGCGAGACACUGGCAAAAGAUCUCUUUCUUCCUGCACAGCACAGGCAGGACGGCGGCUUUUCAAAAUAAUGAAGAACCACAAUUCUAUUCAUUAUAAUUAUUGCGGUAAUUGUUUGUCCUAUGGUACCACUUAAGAACCCCUCUUCUGAACCCCGUCCUUAUAGAAGCUGUACAAAUACAGGAGGAAAUAAAGGUAAUUCUUCCUCUGAAAAUCCUUUUCA
rnacentral:lncRNA from 1 species